rnacentral:tRNA from 16 species
CCGUGGCUAAACGGUAUAGGCGCCGGUUUCGCAAACCGGUGGACCCGGCCUCGAUCCCCGGCG